UGUCAUAUGAUUAGCAGUUAGGGUUAUGUGAACUGGAGAUCUUGGCGUAAAUUAACACACAAUCAAAUGGCGUUAAUAAAUUGCGAAAGGAUGAAAAAGCACAUGUAUAGCAUGACAAAUACCAUAAGAACUGCCAUGACAUA